rnacentral:misc_RNA from 1 species
AGUUUUUCGUAGGUAAUAUUAAGAUAAAAUAGAGAAGAAAAUUUCUUAAAAACUAAAAAAAAUACCAACGAAAAAUUUUUCGUCGGUAAUUACAAACGAAAAGCUUUUCGUAGGUAAUAUUAAGGAGAAAAUAGAAAAUAAAUUUUUAAAAAAAAAUACCUACGAAAAAUUUUUCGUCGGUAAUUACAAACGAAAAGCUUUUCGUAGGUAAUAUUAAGGAGAAAAUAGAAAAUAAAUUUUUAAAAAAAAAUACCU